rnacentral:rRNA from 1 species
GUAGGUGGCAAGCGUUGUCCGGAAUUAUUGGGCGUAAAGCGCGCGCAGGCGGUUCUUCAAGUCUGAUGUGAAAGCCCACGGCUCAACCGUGGAGGGUCAUUGGAAACUGGAGAACUUGAGUACAGAAGAGGAAAGCGGAAUUCCACGUGUAGCGGUGAAAUGCGUAGAGAUGUGGAGGAACACCAGUGGCGAAGGCGGCUUUCUGGUCUGUAACUGACGCUGAGGCGCGAAAGCGUGGGGAGCAAACAGGAUUAGAUACCCUGGUAGUCCACGCCGUAAACGAUGAGUGCUAAGUGUUAGGGGGUUUCCGCCCCCCUUAGUGCUGCAGCUAACGCAUUAAGCACUCCGCCUGGGAGUACGGCCGCAAGGCUG